GCACAGGUGGCCGAAUGGUCUAGGCAGCAGAUUGCAAAUCUGUAUCAUGGGAGUUCGAAUCUCUUCCUGUGCUCCA
rnacentral:tRNA from 1 species